CAUCUUCCUAAGUGCUUCCAUCGGACUUGAUGUUCUACAUCAGACAGCCUUCGGACCUGAACUAGAACAUCUGCUCUCCUGGGUCUCCAGCCUGCCAGCCCAGCCUGCAGAUUUUGGACUUGCCAGCCUCCAAAAAUAUGUGAGCCAAUUCCUUAUAAUAAGUUUUUCUUUAUAUACACACACACGUCCUGUUGGUUCUAUUUCUCUGGAGAAUCCUAAUACAAAAGCAGCUGUUGGUGGUCCCAGGGAGAGGAGAAUGAACCUUGCUGAGACCCUAGCAGAUAGAUUUGUGGGAUCGUGCAACCACGGGAUGGUUGCCAGGAGCUCGAGAGAGGAGGAGAGAGGGACUUUUGGAGACCACUGACUGAGGAGUAGAGGGACAAUAGACAUUUAAUGAUGCUUCCCUGACUUAAUGAUAUUGAUGAUGUAAUAGAUCUCCCCGCUCUUUGAAGCCUUGGUUCUCUGUAAGUCCUUUGGAACUCAAAUACCACCCCAGAGAAAGUGGGAUGAAAUUAAUUAACUGAAAUUAAGUUUAUACUACCCCAGCAGAGCUCCAAAGAGAAAUUCAGGCCAGUUUUGAGAAUGUUAGAAAAAGUGUCCUUCCUUGUACAUUCGCGCUUGUGAAUUGGGAUUCACAGGCACUUCACAAACAUUUGCUUUUAUUUGUCUACUUUCAAGAUACAUGUUGGCAUUUUGUGGUAUGACAUGAAAUGACUUUUCAGAGAUAGAACCUUCAUUUGUAACUUUGCCACUCAGUGUCAGGGCAGCUGUGUAUCAAGGUUAUUACGGUGGCUGGCUAUGGGCAGAAUGUUUGUGGAACUUACAAAAUAUAAUCUAAGAUUGAUGUAGAAGAAUAAAAGUCCCCAAAUAGCUGUCAAGUUUGAAAAAUAAGAGCAAAAAGAGAGAACACAAUUUAUCAGACAGAAAGAUAUGAUAACAUAUGGCAAAGCCAUGGGUAGUUCCUGUGCAGGAAUGGGCAAAUAGAUAUAUAUGGAAAGGAGAGGGACCCUGGAAGCAGACCCCUGGACAUGGGAGCCUGGUGUGCGACAGAGUGCCACAAAUACCUGGGGGAAGAAAAGACUGUUCUUUAGAUGGCAUCGGAAAAACUUACUCUAUGAAAAAAAAAAGUCGAAUGCCUAUUUCUUGUCCUAUACAAAGGUAAACCCCACUUAGAUUUAAGAGCUACAUUUGAAAGGUGAAGCUAUAGAGUUAACAGAAGAAAUUGUUGAAAUACAUCUUUGCAACUUGAUAGCCAAAAACUUCUUAAAUGGGACCCUCAAAACCUCUCUUCUUAGGGAGAACAAUUAAUGCAUUUGAUGAUAUCAAUAUUAAAGAUUUUGUUAAAUGAUCUUCAUAGAUGAUGUUAAUAAAGAGAUGACAGAUUGGGAGGUGUUUUUUAUGAUGUCAAAAAUUAUUGGGACAAAUGGGGAAUGUUGAAUAUGAACCCUAAAUCAGACAUUAGUGGUGUAUAAAUGUUAAAUUUGUUGAGUGGGGGAAUUUUAUUAUGGUUUAUGUAGGAGAAUGUCCUUGUUCGUAGGAGAUUUACACUGAAAUAUUUAGUGAAGUGUCUGAAACAUUGGUAAUCAC
ensembl:lncRNA